rnacentral:lncRNA from 1 species
CUUUAGAGUGUAAAGAGUUAAUACGUACAACAAGACAGGACAAAGAUGUCGUCAAUGGCCGGUUUAAUAUCAGAGAUAAUCAAAGAAAGAAGUACUUCUAUGUGUACAUCCAAAAUCUGACCAGAGCUGACUCUGGAGUGUACUGGUGUGGAGCUGGUGCAGAAUACACCAAAAUACAGCUCUCUGUGGAUGAAAAGUAUUUAAAAGUUAAGAAAAGAAGCAAUAGAGAAGAGGACAAAUCAAACCAGCCAACAGUUGGGUACAAGAAUGGUCCUGCACAAGGUAUGUGCUAACACACAGCUUGUGUUCAUAUCUGCCUAUAACAGAUGAAAAUCUGAAUGUUUCUCCUCUUGUCUCUUGUUAGGACCGAUGAUUGGUGGUAUUGUGGCUGCAGCUGUGUUGUUACUGGUAGCUGUAAUUCUGCUAAUAAUUUUCAGAAGGAAAAUCUUCAGGAGAGGAG